UUAGUACUUACUCCGUCCGAAAAAACUUGUCCCAAGUUUUGUCCCUCAAAUGGAUGUAUCUAGCACUAACUUGGUGCUAGAUACAUCUAUUUGAGGGACAAGCUUUUUUGGAUGGAGGGAGUAUUUA
rfam:Triticum aestivum genome assembly, contig: Triticum_aestivum_CS42_TGACv1_scaffold_406005_5BL